GACGAGGGAUACUAGCGUUGUUCGGAAUCAUUGGGCGUAAAGAGUAUGUAGGUUGCUUUGCAAGUCAGUUGUGAAAUCCCCGGGCUUAACCCGGGAAGUGCUUCUGAUACUGCUUAGCUUGAGUACUGUAGAGGUGACUGGAAUUCCUGGUGUAGCGGUGGAAUGCGCAGAUAUCAGGAGGAACACCGGUGGCGAAGGCGGGUCUCUGGGCCGUUACUGACGCUGAGGAGCGAAAGCGUGGGGAGCGAACAGG
rnacentral:rRNA from 1 species